rnacentral:other from 1 species
GUUGUGAUUUGCUUUCAUUUUAGUAUCUUUGAACCAUAGGAAACAG